rnacentral:rRNA from 1 species
GACGAACGCUGGCGGCGUGCCUAAUACAUGCAAGUAGAACGCACUUGCGAACGGGUGAGUAACGCGUAGGUAACUGCCUCAUAGCGGGGGAUAACGAUUCGAAACGUUAGCUAAUACCCCAUACUGUGAGAUGGACCUGCGUUGUAUUAGUUAGUUGGGGAGGGAAAGGCUCACCAAGGCGACGAUACAUAGCCGACCUGGUAGGGUGGUCGGCCAACAGUGGAAUGGGGAACGGGUCCGAACCCUAAGGGAGGCAGCAGUAGGGAAACUUCGGAAAUGGACGGAAGUCUGACCGAGCAAAGCCGGGUGAGUGAAGAAAGUUUUUGGAAUGGAAAGCUCUGUUGUUAGAGAAGCGGUACCUACACAGAAAGGGACGGCUAACUACGUGCCAGCAGCCGCGGUAAUUC